AUUCCCAGACACGUUCUUUUAGCUGUGAGGAAUGAUGAAGAAUUGGGAAAACUUCUUUCGGGCGUGACAAUCGCUCAUGGUGGUGUUCUUCCAAACAUCAACCCGGUUCUUCUGCCCAAAAAGGCUCUUGACAAAGCAACCAAAGAGCCUAAAUCUCCAUCAAAAGCAACCAAAUCACCUAAGAAAGCUUAGUGGAUGGAUAUCACAAUCCAUCAGUUGGUUGUUAAUCUUCUGAACAUUUGUUUGCGAUUUAGGGAAAGUUAGUUAUUGUAGUCUCUCUGUACUCAGAAUAUUAUUGCUGG
rnacentral:lncRNA from 1 species